CAGUGGUCAGUCUGGACCAGGACAGUAGUAGGAGGAAACCAAGGAGUCCAGGUGGGCUGGGGGAAGUUCCUGCCACUCAUACAUGAGGCGUAUGUCAGCUCUGAGGAUCCAGCCCAGACCCAGCCAGAGGGUACCCAUCCAGAGAGGUUGACCCAGACCUAUCCUGUCCAUCCAGCCCACACCAUCCUAGAGCCCCAAGCCCAUCCAGAGAGGGCCCACCUGGAGAGGCCAGGGCCCAGGAGGCUGCUGCUGUCAGUGCUACUACCCCUUGGACAUACAGAGGAGGAGGGGGUGCAGGCUCCGUGUGCUGGUGUCCACUACAAGCCAUCAGAGGAGGAGAGAGGGGAGCCUCACUGUGGAGAGACGGGGCACAAA